rnacentral:rRNA from 1 species
UUGCUGUAGUAUUUUGACUAUACAAAGGUAUUGUAAUAAGACUUUAAUUGAGUGCUAAAAGAAUGGAAUUACAAAAAAAGGCUUUUUUAAUUUUAAAAAUUAAAAUUAUUUUUUUUUGUGAAGAAACAAAAAUUUAAAUUAAAGACAAGAAGACCCUAAGAAUUUUUUUUUUUAUUAAAAUAAUAUUUUAUUUUAAAAAUUUAAUUGGGGCGAUUAAUUAAUAUUAAAAACUUUAUUAAUAAAAAAAAAUGAUCCAUUACUAAUGAUUAUUUGAUUAAAAUACUCUAGGGAUAACAGCGUAAUAAUUUUUGAUAGUUCUUAUAGAAAAAAUAGUUUGCGACCUCGAUGUUGGAUUAGGAUUCUUUUUUAAUGAAGAAGUUAAAAAAAGAAGUUUGUUCAACUUUUAAAUUCC